AAAAAAACAAACCCUGAUUUCUGUGCUUGACGUUUGACCGUCCGUCUUAUUUUAAAAAUAUAUAAAAAAAUUAAAAAGACAAGUCACGUACAAAGUAUUAAUCAUGUUUUAUCAUCUAACAAUAAUAAAAAUAUGAAUUAUAAAAAAAUUUUAUAUAAAACGGACAAUCAAAGUUGGACACGGAAACACAUGGUUUAUCUUUUU
rfam:Oryza glaberrima chromosome 2 Oglab02_0123_9, whole genome shotgun sequence.